UACGAAGGGGGCUAGCGUUGUUCGGAAUUACUGGGCGUAAAGGGCGUGUAGGCGGCCCGCUAAGUCAGGUGUGAAAGGCCUGGGCUCAACCCAGGAAAUGCGCCUGAGACUGACGGGCUUGAAUCCGGGAGAGGAUGGUGGAACUCCCAGUGUAGAGGUGAAAUUCGUAGAUAUUGGGAAGAACACCCGUGGCGAAGGCGGCCAUCUGGACCGGUAUUGACGCUAAGGCGCGACAGCGUGGGGAGCAAACAGG
rnacentral:rRNA from 2 species